UCAUGCGGUCGCCGCUCGCGGCUCGCCGGUCAUUCUUUAUGGCGUUGUGUUGUUGUAUUUAUUUAAUCUAAAUCACGUUAUUUUGUUAGAAAAACUUUGUGUACUAACUUUUGUGAUUCUUCGCGCAAACUACUAUAGUGUUCUGUGACUAAAUGACCUUCUAAUAAAAGCCUGUAUGACUAUUUUCAAGGAUACCACAUUAAAUGAAAUAGAGCAAAAUAUAUCUAAAUGGAUAAGGCGUUGUGCGGAAAGGGGAAAGGAUAAAAACGUGUGAAUUGCAUAAACCUAUAUAUAUUUAUGUAUCAUAUAUUUACUUCAAUUAAAUCGUUUUGAAUUUCGUU